rnacentral:rRNA from 1 species
UGAGGAAUAUUGGUCAAUGGGCGAGAGCCUGAACCAGCCAAGUAGCGUGCAGGAAGACGGCCCUAUGGGUUGUAAACUGCUUUUAUGUGGGGAUAAAGUGCUUGACGUGUCAUGCAUUGCAGGUACCACAUGAAUAAGGACCGGCUAAUUCCGUGCCAGCAGCCGCGGUAAUACGGAAGGUCCGGGCGUUAUCCGGAUUUAUUGGGUUUAAAGGGAGCGUAGGCUGUCUAUUAAGCGUGUUGUGAAAUUUACCGGCUCAACCGGUGGCUUGCAGCGCGAACUGGUCGACUUGAGUAUGCAGGAAGUAGGCGGAAUUCAUGGUGUAGCGGUGAAAUGCUUAGAUAUCAUGACGAACUCCGAUUGCGCAGGCAGCUUACUGUAGCAUAACUGACGCUGAUGCUCGAAAGUGCGGGUAUCAAACAGG